GUUUCUCAAAUACAUCAUAACAAUUAAUCAAAAGAUUGAGACCAUAUAUACUAAGGUUCUCAGAUACAUGAUAGCCAUCAUACAAAAGAUUGAGACCAUAUAUAAUAAGGUUCUCAGAUACAUGAUAGCCAUUAAACAAAAGAUCGAGACCAUAUAUACUAGGUUCUCAAUUACAUCAUAUCAGCUGACUAAAUAUAUACUAAGAUUGAGGGCAUAUAAACAAAAGACUGAGACCAUAUAUACUAUGUUCUCAAUUACAUCAUAUCAGCUAACAAAAUAUAACAGACACAAAACAUCAUAAACUUCAAAUUCUCCAUGUUGGUUGUGUUGAAGUUUGGUCUCGUCUCUUAAAAGGCAAUUUUUGUCUGUUGUUGGUUG
rnacentral:lncRNA from 1 species